rnacentral:rRNA from 1 species
GACAGAGGUGCCAAGCGUUAGGCGGAAUCACUGGGCUUAAAGCGUGUGUAGGCGGAUCGUUAAAUACCUUGUGAAAUCCCACGGCUCAACCGUGGAACUGCUCGGUAUACUGGCGGUCUUGAGCCACCUAGGGGCAACUGGAACAAGCGGUGGAGCGGUGAAAUGCGUAGAUAUCGCUUGGAACGCCAACGGUGAAAACAGGUUGCUGGGGGUGUGCUGACGCUGAGACGCGAAAGCGUGGGGAGCGAACAGG